GAUGAUGGAAAGUGGACAAAUUACCAUAAAUUCUGUCAAUUCGCUAGACGAUAUUGAUGUUGACGACGAAUGUAUUGAAGAUGAACAAUACUCUUCUGAAUCAUCAGAAAAUGAAAAUACUGAAGACCUCGAAACUCUUCUUCCCAGCCCCAGUCAACCAAAAAUAACAGACAAAGAAAAGGGUACUUCAAAUACCAGGAGAACAAAACAAGCAGCCAAAAAGCAAUGGAGUGAAAACGAAAAAGGAGCUGUUCACAGACACUUUGAUCGUUUUUUUGAUAAUGGGUAAAUUACCAGGGAAAAAAGAAAUACUUGCGUGUAUUGAAAGUGAGAAUGACCUUCACAACAGAAGUUGGAAAAAUGUCAAAGACGUUUGCAGAAAUUUAAUUGAAACAAAAAAGCGACGGGGACUUUUAACUCAAAAAAAUAUUACACAUAUAAUGCACGUUUAGGAGAAUACGUUAAAGGAUGAAGUUGCCACAUGUGUUUUGUGUGUUUUCUUGUUCUAUAUACUCUUUUCGAAAACGAUAUAUGUGUGCUUAUUGUAUUUGAAUGUUUUAUUAAUACGGUUCAGUCAAAAACGAUAUUUGUUCAUAAUCAUAUCGCCGAACAAAUUAGGAUUGGUAUAUAGUUCGGCCAAAGAGUGUUUCUUUGUACUUUCUAUUACGAGUUUCUACGAGUUACUCACUAUACAAGUUAUUUUUUACCCUAAACUUGGUGAAUAUGAAUGAAUAUAGCAAACAUGAUAACAAAUCAAUCUAGAAGGCUAAACGUUCAGAGAAGGCACAAAAAAAUUCAGUCGGAUAAAUGGAAACAAACAUUUUGUUCAAGCAUAACAAACAAAAACUUUAAGAUUUAAUAAGAUAAAUGUAAAUAACAUAAAAAACUACUGCUAAACUACUGCUACAAUGUGAUAAAUACAAAUGAAUAUUUUGUCAAUUUUACAAAAUUUGUUUUGAAUGACAGGUGUCUGACUUGCAGUUGAGUACUUAAUAGUUAUUUUAAAGUAAAAAUUUACCAAAAUGUAAAUUAUUGCGUAAGUAUUGCACUAGAAUUGAUUAAAUGGUUGUUAAAUAUUACAAUAAUUUCCUACACAGAUUUUUGUGCAUUUGU